UCAGUACGGCGAGUGAAGCGGCAAAAGCUCAAAUUUGAAAUCUGGUACCUUUGGUGCCCGAGUUGUAAUUUGAAGAUAGUUUUCUGGUGCUGGCCCUUGUCUAUGUUCCUUGGAACAGGACGUCACAGAGGGUGAGAAUCCCGUCUGGCGGGGUGUCCAGUGCUUUGUAGAUUUCUAUCGACGAGUCGAGUUGUUUGGGAAUGCAGCUCUAAGUGGGUGGUAAAUUCCAUCUAAAGCUAAAUAUUGGCGAGAGACCGAUAGCGAACAAGUACAGUGAUGGAAAGAUGAAAAGAACUUUGAAAAGAGAGUGAAAAAGUACGUGAAAUUGUUGAAAGGGAAGGGUAUUAGAUCAGACUUGGUGUUUUGUGAUUAUCUUCCCUUCUUGGGUUGUGCACUCGCAUUUCACUGGGCCAGCAUCGGUUCGGGUGGUAAGAUAAUGACAUUGGAACGUGGCACUACCUUCGGGUGGUGUGUUAUAGCCCUUGUUGAUGUUGCCUACCUGGACCGAGGACUGCGGCUUUUGCCUAGGAUGCUGGCGUAAUGAUCUAACACCGCCCGUCUUG
rnacentral:rRNA from 1 species